rnacentral:rRNA from 1 species
GGUAGUAAUUAAACCAAUAUGUAAUGGCGGUCAUCAUAUUUUAGAGAAACUCGCUUCAUAAUCGUAAACACUCGAUAAAUUUUACUUUUUUUAUAGUCUAUAUACCGCCGUUUCAGGGUUUAAAACAACUAAUAGCCCAUAAAAUAUAAAUAUAAAAAAUCAGGUCAAGGUGUAGCAAAUAAAGAAGAAGAAGUAAGUUACAUUAAAAACAAUUUAAGGAUUCUAUAUCAAAUAUAAAAAUGAAAAAGAAUUUAUAUGUAAGUAUUAAUCAAAAACUAAUACUGAACAAAAUAAUGAAGAUGC